rnacentral:tmRNA from 1 species
CCCCUUCCGUCCGGCGGCCGGGCGCCCUAUAUUCCUCGGCGUCGGAGAUAUCCGGCUAUGGUGAUAAACGGCCGCUGUAAUAAACCCUUCGGACCCGGGGGCAGUACCCGGCGCCUCCACCCAAGCCCUUGAUAUUAAGGGUUUCGGCGGGGGCGAAACAGGAUCGACGGGGGCGUAAAGAGCGGGCUUUUGCCCGGCAUGGCUCCACCGUUAUCGGGCCAUUCUAUAGUUGCCAACGACAACUAUGCUCCGGUUGCUCUGGCCGCGUGAGCGGUCCGGGAAACCGAACCUAAAGUCCUGAUGGUCUAGCAGCUAUUGGGCGGGGCCCGGAGGCGCCUGGCAACAGAAGCCUCCACU